rnacentral:snRNA from 1 species
AUACUUACCUGGCAGGGGAGAUAUCAUGAUCACAAAGGUGGUUUUCCCAGGGCGAGGCUCAUUCAUUGCACUCUGGAUGUGCUGACACCUGCGACUUCCCCAAAUGUGGGAAAUUCGACUCCAUGAAUUAUGGCAGUGGGAAAAUGCAUCUGCGCUCUCCCU